GAUCUCCAAAUUCCCUUCUGGUGCUAAACUUCCAGCCUUGUAGCCACUGACGCCUUCACCAUCCCAGCCUGUUUUCCCUUGGUACCGGACCAGCUGCCCUUGCCCGAACCCUGUUCUUCCUCGACUGCGAACUUUCUAACGUACUCACAGGUUCUAAACUCUACCGUUCCUCGUGACCGAGGGACUAAAGGGCCCGGGCAGGGGCUCAACUCUGAGAGAAAAAAAGGCAAGAAAACUCCAAAGUUGGACAGCAAGCGUCAAAAGACUGCACAGCAGGAAGGCGAAACCGAACAGAACUGCUGCUGCGCGGCGACAGCUGAAGUGGGUGGAGAACGGGAGG
rnacentral:lncRNA from 1 species